AUGUUACUCGCUCCACCACCUACCGCAGCUACCGCGGCGGCCUCCCCUACGCUCGCCGGCCUGGGGCUGCCGCAGCUCAUUGAUGGUGCAUCAGGGCGCGUGCUGCCCUGUAUCGCUCUCCGGGAGGCAGUCGUCGGUCCGCCCGAGGGCUGGGUGGACCUGGUCUCCGGGAGAAUCCUUCCGUGUGUGGCUCUGUCCGCCAUGGCGGAGGAGGCUGCAUCUCGAGUAAGUGCGCCCCCCUCCCUUUCCUUUCCCGGGCAGGUGCACACCACUCAGUCCGAGCUGCCAGAGCUCCUCCGCCGCUCUUGGGCUGAUGUGGCCAAUUCGGCCAGGCCGCGCCUGAACUCCAUUAUUGUGGAUCCUGCGGUGGUGGACGCCAGCCCCGCUCCGGGCACCGCUGCUCGUCAGGCACGCGAGGGAUCUCCUGCGUCUGGGCAUCAGAUUUGCACGCCGCCCGUACCGCCUGACCCCGCCACAGCGAGCCGCGAGUGGACGCGGGUGCUCUCGAGGCGUGAGAGGAGCCUGGCGAGGCGCCAGAUAGAUUGCCCGCGGCAGCGGCCAAAGGAUUCGGCGGGAUCUCACCAUGAACGCCCGGCAUCCGCAGCUGCAGAGGCCUUCAAGAGGAGAUUUGGGAACUGCUGCUACCGAUGCCUCGCCCCCCGGCAUAAAUUCUUCGAGUGCCGCGACCCUCGAAUCUGCUACACCUGCAAGCGAACGGGCCAUCUCGAGCGUGAGUGCCCUGUUCGUAGAAAAGACACUGCUGGGCACGCCCCCGAUCUCACUUCUGCCAUGCUGCGCACCCCCCACGCCAGGUCGCGCACCCCCGCCGUCCACCGCUAUCUGCAGGCACCAAAGGAAGGCCCUGCCGCACCCCCGCCGAGUGCUCCGGUGCCGCCCCAAGGUCCAAUGGAGGAGUAG
rnacentral:rRNA from 1 species